GAUGAACGCUGGCGGCGUGCCUAAUACAUGCAAGUCGAGCGAACGGACGAGAAGCUUGCUUCUCUGAUGUUAGCGGCGGACGGGUGAGUAACACGUGGAUAACCUACCUAUAAGACUGGGAUAACUUCGGGAAACCGGAGCUAAUACCGGAUGAUAUUUUGAACCGCAUGGUUCAAAAGUGAAAGACGGUCUUGCUGUCACUUAUAGAUGGAUCCGCGCUGCAUUAGCUAGUUGGUAAGGUAACGGCUUACCAAGGCAACGAUGCAUAGCCGACCUGAGAGGGUGGUCGGCCACACUGGAACUGCGACACGGUCCAGACUCCUACGGGAGGCAGCAGUAGGGAAUCUUCCGCAAUGGGCGAAAGCCUGACGGAGCAACGCCGCGUGAGUGAUGAAGGUCUUCGGAUCGUAAAGCUCUGUUAUUAGGGAAGAACAUAUGUGUAAGUAACUGUGCACAUCUUGACGGUACCUAAUCAGAAAGCCACGGCUAACUACGUG
rnacentral:rRNA from 1 species